rnacentral:rRNA from 1 species
UACGUAGGGUGCGAGCGUUAAUCGGAAUUACUGGGCGUAAAGUGUGCGCAGGCGGCGUCGCAAGUCGAGUGUGAAAGCCCCGAGCUUAACUUGGGAAUUGCGCUCGAAACUACGAUGCUGGAGUGUGGCAGAGGAAGGUGGAAUUCCACGUGUAGCGGUGAAAUGCGUAGAGAUGUGGAGGAGCACCGAUGGCGAAGGCAGCCUUCUGGGCCAACACUGACGCUCAUGCACGAAAGCGUGGGGAGCAAACAGG